rnacentral:tRNA from 1 species
CCCACCACCAACUCCCAAAGCUGAAGUUCUAUUUAAACUAUUCCAUG